rnacentral:rRNA from 1 species
AGAGUUUGAUCCUACGCUCAGAUUGAACGCUGGCGGCAGGCCUAACACAUGCAAGUCGAACGGUAGCACAGAGAGCUUGCUCUCGGGUGACGAGUGGCGGACGGGUGAGUAAUGUCUGGGAAACUGCCUGAUGGAGGGGGAUAACUACUGGAAACGGUAGCUAAUACCGCAUAACGUCGCAAGACCAAAGAGGGGGACCUUCGGGCCUCUUGCCAUCGGAUGUGCCCAGAUGGGAUUAGCUUGUUGGUGAGGUAACGGCUCACCAAGGCGACGAUCCCUAGCUGGUCUGAGAGGAUGACCAGCCACACUGGAACUGAGACACGGUCCAGACUCCUACGGGAGGCAGCAGUGGGGAAUAUUGCACAAUGGGCGCAAGCCUGAUGCAGCCAUGCCGCGUGUAUGAAGAAGGCCUUCGGGUUGUAAAGUACUUUCAGCGAGGAGGAAGGCGGUAAGGUUAAUAACCUUAUCGAUUGACGUUACUCGCAGAAGAAGCACCGGCUAACUUCGUGCCAGCAGCCGCGGUAAUACGGGAGGGUGCAAGCGUUAAUCGGAAUUACUGGGGCGUAAAGCCGCAACGCAGGCGGGUCUGUCAAGUCGGAUGGUGAAAUCCCCCGGGGCUUCAACCUGGGAAACUGCAUUUCGAAAACUGGCAGG